rnacentral:rRNA from 1 species
UACGGGGGGAGCAAGCGUUGUUCGGAUUUACUGGGCGUAAAGGGCGCGUAGGCGGCGCAACAAGUCACUUGUGAAAUCUCCGGGCUUAACUCGGAAAGGUCAAGUGAUACUGUUGUGCUAGAGUGCGGAAGGGGCAACUGGAAUUCUCGGUGUAGCGGUGAAAUGCGUAGAUAUCGAGAGGAACACCUGCGGCGAAGGCGGGUUGCCGGGCCGCAACUGACACUGAGGGACAAAAGCUAGGGGAGCGAAUGGG